AUAUCAAUAAGCGGAGGAAAAGAAACUAACAAGGAUUCCCGUAGUAACUGCGAGUGAAGUGGGAAGAGCUCAAAUUUGGAAUCUGGCGGUUCUGGCCGUCCGAGUUGUAAUCUAGAGAAGUGUUACCUGCGCUGGACCGUGUACAAGUCUCCUGGAACGGAGCGUCAUAGAGGGUGAGAAUCCCGUCUCUGACACGGACUACCAGGGCUUUGUGGUAUGCUCUCAAAGAGUCGAGUUGUUUGGGAAUGCAGCUCAAAAUGGGUGGUAAACUCCAUCUAAAGCUAAAUACUGGCGAGAGACCGAUAGUGAACAAGUACCGUGAGGGAAAGAUGAAAAGAACUUUGGAAAGAGAGUUAAACAGUACGUGAAAUUGCUGAAAGGGAAACGCUUGAAGUCAGUCGCGUUGGCUGGGGAUCAGCUUCACAAACAAGUGCGGUGUAUUUCCUGGUUGACGGGUCAGCAUCAAUUUUGACUGCUGGAGAAAGGCUUGAGGAAUGUAGCAGCCCCGGCUGUGUUAUAGCCUCUUGUCAGAUACAGUGGUUGGGAUUGAGGUGUGCAGCACGCCGCGAGGCCGGGGCUUAAAUAGCCCACGUUCGUGCUUAGGAUGUUGACAUAAUGGCUUUAAGCGACCCGUCUUGAA
rnacentral:rRNA from 1 species